rnacentral:rRNA from 1 species
AAGCGCUUGCAAUCAGACUUGCGUGCGGUUGAUCAUCCGGUGUUCUCACCGGUGCACUCUGCCGCACUCAGGCCAGCAUCGGUUUUGGUGGUUGGAUAAAGGCCUUGGGAAUGUGACUCCUCUCGGGGAGUGUUAUAGCCCUCGGUGCAAUGCAGCCUACCGGGACCGAGGACCGCGCUUCGGCUAGGAUGCUGGCGUAAUGGUUGUAAGCGA